rnacentral:rRNA from 1 species
AUUGAACGCUGGCGGCAUGCUUUACACAUGCAAGUCGAACGGCAACACGGGGGCAACCCUGGUGGCGAGUGGCGAACGGGUGAGUAAUACAUAGGAACGUAUCCUGAAAUGGGGGAUAGCUCGGCGAAAGCCGGAUUAAUACCGCAUACGAUCUACGGAUGAAGGCAGGGGAUUCGCAAGAACCUUGCGUUUCUGGAGCGGCCUAUGCCUGAUUAGCUAGUUGGCGGGGAAAAGCCCACCAAGGCGACGAUCAGUAGCUGGUCUGAGAGGAUGAUCAGCCACACUGGGACUGAGACACGGCCCAGACUCCUACGGGAGGCAGCAGUGGGGAAUUUUGGACAAUGGGGGCAACCCUGAUCCAGCCAUGCCGCGUGAGUGAAGAAGGCCUGGUU